UACGGGGGGGGCAAGCGUUGUUCGGAAUUACUGGGCGUAAAAGGUCUGUAGGUGGCCAACUAAGUCAGACGUGAAAUCCCUCAGCUUAACUGGGGAACUGCGUCUGAGACUGGAUGGCUCGAGUGCAGGAGAGGAAUGCGGAAUUCCAGGUGUAGCGGUGAAAUGCGUAGAUAUCUGGAGGAACACCGGUGGCGAAGGCGGCAUUCUGGACUGCAACUGACACUGAGAGACGAAAGCCAGGGGAGCAAACAGG
rnacentral:rRNA from 1 species